rnacentral:lncRNA from 1 species
GAAAAAAUGAAAGAGAAACCGACAUAGCUUUUCGUGUCGUUUCCCACAAACGGCGCCAAAUGUUGAUGCACAAAAUCUCGGAGGAUCUUGGACCAACGUAAAUUCGGCCGUGAAUCACACAAACGCUCAAAAACACAAAGAUGUAUCGUGGUUCACCCCAAUGUUUGGGCUACGUCCACACUGAUGUUGAUUAUGUAUGUAUGUAUGGAUUACAAUAGAUCGGCAAGGGAGCUCUCUGUGGAUG